rnacentral:rRNA from 1 species
UACGGGGGGGGCAAGCGUUGUUCGGAAUUACUGGGCGUAAAGGGCUCGUAGGCGGCCAACUAAGUCAGACGUGAAAUCCCUCGGCUUAACCGGGGAACUGCGUCCGAUACUGGAUGGCUUGAAUCCGGGAGAGGGAUGCGGAAUUCCAGGUGUAGCGGUGAAAUGCGUAGAUAUCUGGAGGAACACCGGUGGCGAAGGCGGCAUCCUGGACCAUGACUGACGCUGAGGCGCGAAAGCUAGGGGAGCAAACAGG